rnacentral:ncRNA from 1 species
CCAAAAACAUUAACGUUUUGGUCCUGAACUUACUGUUGUUUUUAACCAGUAUUACACAUGCAAGCAUCCACACUCCAGUGAAAAUGCCCAUAAUAAUCCCAAUAAGAUUAACGGAGCAGGUAUCAGGCACACCAAUGUUAGCCAAUGACACCUUGUUUGGCCACCCCCUCACGGGUCUACAGCAGUGAUUAAUAUUAAACACUAAGCGAAAGCUUGAUUUAGCCAUGGUUAAACUAGGGUUGGUAAAUUUCGUGCCAGCCACCGCGGUUAUACGAGAAACCCAAAACAACUAGCACCGGCGUAAAGAGAGGAUAGAGCAACAAUUCUUUAAGGGCGAACUUUUUCUACGCUGUAAAACGCCCAAGAAAAUAAGAACCACCUACCCCUUAACUACUCUUAACUCCACGAAAGCAAGGACACAAACUGGGAUUAGAUACCCCACUAUGCCUUGCCAUAAACUAAGAUAGAAAAAUACAACCUAUCCGCCAAAGAACUACAAGCAAAAUGCUUAAAACUUAAAGGACUUGGCGGCAUUCCACAUCAACCUAGAGGAGCCCGUCCUAUAAUCGACAAUACGCGUUCAACCAAACCACUUUUGGCCACUCCAGCCUAUAUACCGCCGUCGCCAGCUAACCUUGUGAAAGAAAAAAAGUUAGCAAAAUAGUCCACACUAGAACGUCAGGUCAAGGUGUAGCUAAUGAAGUGGAUGAGAUAGGCUACAUUUUUUAGAAUAAAAACUACGGAUGAUACAAUGAAAUUUUGUAACAGAAGGUGAAUUUAGCAGUAAAACAAGAAAGAAUUCUUAUUUUAACACCGCCCUGGAAUGCGCACACACCGCCCGUCACCCUCCUCGACCCAAAACUAGAUGAGGCAAG